rnacentral:tRNA from 1 species
CGCGCAUCGGACUGUAGCGCAGCUUGGUAGCGCACCGUCAUGGGGUGUCGGGGGUCGGAGGUUCAAAUCCUCUCAGU